rnacentral:rRNA from 1 species
UGAGGAAUAUUGGUCAAUGGUCGGGAGACUGAACCAGCCAAGCCGCGUGAGGGAUGAAGGUGCAGAGCAUCGUAAACCUCUUUUGUCGGGGAAUAAAAAGCUCCACGUGUGGAGCGUUGCAUGUACCCGAAGAAAAAGCAUCGGCUAACUCCGUGCCAGCAGCCGCGGUAAUACGGAGGAUGCGAGCGUUAUCCGGAUUUAUUGGGUUUAAAGGGUGCGUAGGCGGACCUUUAAGUCAGCGGUAAAAGCCCGGGGCUCAACCCCGGCGAGCCGUUGAAACUGGGGGUCUUGAGUUGGCGAGAGGUAUGCGGAAUGCGCAGUGUAGCGGUGAAAUGCUUAGAUAUUGCGCAGAACUCCGAUUGCGAAGGCAGCAUACCGGCGCCACACUGACGCUGAGGCACGAAAGCGUGGGGAUCGAACAGG